rnacentral:rRNA from 1 species
GACGAACGCUGGCGGCGUGCUUAACACAUGCAAGUCGAACGGAAAGGCCCUGCUUUUGUGGGGUGCUCGAGUGGCGAACGGGUGAGUAACACGUGAGUAACCUGCCCUUGACUUUGGGAUAACUUCAGGAAACUGGGGCUAAUACCGGAUAGGAGCUCCUGCUGCAUGGUGGGGGUUGGAAAGUUUCGGCGGUUGGGGAUGGACUCGCGGCUUAUCAGCUUGUUGGUGGGGUAGUGGCUUACCAAGGCUUUGACGGGUAGCCGGCCUGAGAGGGUGACCGGCACAAUGGGAAUGGGGAUCGGGCCAGACUCCUACGGGAGGCAGCAGUGGGGAAUAUUGCACAAUGGGCGGAAGCCUGAUGCAGCAACGCCGCGUGCGGGAUGACGGCCUUCGGGUUGUAAACCGCUUUCGCCUGUGACGAAGCGUGAGUGACGGUAAUGGGUAAAGAAGCACCGGCUAACUACGUG